GCGGAGGAAAAGAAACCAACAGGGAUUGCCUUAGUAACGGCGAGUGAAGCGGCAAAAGCUCAAAUUUGAAAUCUGGCACCUUCGGUGUCCGAGUUGUAAUUUGAAGAAGGUAACUUUGGAGUUGGCUCUUGUCUAUGUUCCUUGGAACAGGACGUCACAGAGGGUGAGAAUCCCGUGCGAUGAGAUGCCCAAUUCUAUGUAAAGUGCUUUCGAAGAGUCGAGUUGUUUGGGAAUGCAGCUCUAAGUGGGUGGUAAAUUCCAUCUAAAGCUAAAUAUUGGCGAGAGACCGAUAGCGAACAAGUACAGUGAUGGAAAGAUGAAAAGAACUUUGAAAAGAGAGUGAAAAAGUACGUGAAAUUGUUGAAAGGGAAGGGCUUGAGAUCAGACUUGGUAUUUUGCGAUCCUUUCCUUCUUGGUUGGGUUCCUCGCAGCUUACUGGGCCAGCAUCGGUUUGGAUGGUAGGAUAAUGACUAAGGAAUGUGGCUCUACUUCGGUGGAGUGUUAUAGCCUUGGUUGAUACUGCCUGUCUAGACCGAGGACUGCGUCUUUUGACUAGGAUGUUGGCAUAAUGAUCUUAAGCCACCCGUCUUGAAAACACGGACC
rnacentral:rRNA from 1 species